rnacentral:rRNA from 1 species
AGUGAACGCUGGCGGUAGGCCUAACACAUGCAAGUCGAACGGCAGCACAGUAAGAGCUUGCUCUUACGGGUGGCGAGUGGCGGACGGGUGAGGAAUACAUCGGAAUCUACUUUUUCGUGGGGGAUAACGUAGGGAAACUUACGCUAAUACCGCAUACGACCUACGGGUGAAAGCAGGGGAUCUUCGGACCUUGCGCGAUUGAAUGAGCCGAUGUCGGAUUAGCUAGUUGGCGGGGUAAAGGCCCACCAAGGCGACGAUCCGUAGCUGGUCUGAGAGGAUGAACGGCCACAUUGGGACUGAGAUACGGCCCAGACUGCGACGGGAGGCAGCAGUGGGGAAUAGUGCACAAUGGGCGGAAGACUGAUGCAGCAACGCCGCGUGCCGGAUGACGGCCGUCGGGUUGUAAAACGCAAUCGCCUGUGAAGAAGCGUGAGUGAGGGGAAUGGGUAAAGAAGCACCGGCUCACUACGUG